rnacentral:rRNA from 1 species
CGGGGCCCAUCGCGUGGGGAGGGACCCGCGUCCCAUCAGCUUGUUGGUGAGGUAACGGCUCACCAAGGCUUACGGGUAGCUGGUCUGAGAGGAUGGUCAGCCACACUGGGACUGAGACACUGCCCAGACUCCUACGGGAGGCUGCAGUCGAGGAUCAUGGUCAAUGCGCGAAAGCGUGAACUUGCGACGCUGCGUGGAGGAUGAAGGCCCUCGGGUCGUAAACUCCUGCCAUUCGGGAACAAUGUCCACGAGGUGAUAAGUCUCGAGGUUUGAUGGUACCGAAAGAGGAAGCCACGGCUAACUACGUGCCAGCAGCCGCGGUAACCCGUAGGUGGCGAGCGUUGUUCGGAUUUACUGGGCGUAAAGGGUGCGUAGGUGGUUCCGUAUGUCGGAUGUGAAAUCCCACUGCUCAACGGUGGAAUUGCAUUCGAAACUGCGGUGCUUGAGUGCAGGAGGGGAGAGCGGAAUUCUUGGUGUAGCGGUGAAAUGCGUUGAUAUCAAGAAGAACACCGGUGGCGAAGGCGGCUCUCUGGACUGCUACUGACACUGAGGCACGAAAGCCGGGGGAGCGAACAGGAUUAGAUACCCUGGUAGUCCCGGCUGUAAACAGUGUGCACUUGGUGUGGGGAGGUUUUGACCCCUCUCCGUGCCGGAGCUAACGCGUUAAGUGCACCGCCUGGGGAGUACGGCCGCAAGGCUAAAACUCAAAGAAAUUGACGGGGGCCCGCACAAGCGGAGGAGCAUGUGGCUCAAUUCGAUUCGAGCGAAGAACCUUACCAGGGUUUGACAUGCAGCUGCAAAUCUCCCGAAAAGGAGACGCCUUCGAGGGUGCUGCACAGGUGCUGCAUGGCUGUCGUCAGUUCGUGCCAUGAGGUGUUGGGUUAAGUCCCGCAACGAACGCAACCCUUGUGUCUAGUUGCUACCGCAGGUGAUGAGCCUGCGGGCACUCUAGACAGACUGCCCGUACAAGCGGGAGGAAGGUGGGGACGACGUCAAGUCAGUAUGGCCCUUACGCCCUGGGCUGCACACGUGCUACAAUGGCCGGUACAGAAGGACGCAAUGCCGCAAGGUGGAGCAAAUCCCGAAAGCCGACCUCAGUUCGGAUUGGAGUCUGCAACUCGACUCCAUGAAGUUGGAUUCGCUAGUAAUGGCGCAUCAGCUACGGCGCCGUGAAUACGUUCCCGGGCCUUGUACACACCGCCCGUCACACCAUGAAAGCCGUCUGGACCCGAAGUCGCUGUGCUAAUCCCGAUUUUAUCGGGGAAGUAGGCGCCGAAGGUCUGGGUGGUGAUUAGGGUGAAGUCGUAACAAGGUA